rnacentral:rRNA from 1 species
GAGAGUUUGAUCCUGGCUCAGAUUGAACGCUGGCGGCAGGCUUAACACAUGCAAGUCGAGCGGGGUGAUGGUGCUUGCACUAUCACCUAGCGGCGGACGGGUGAGUAAUGCUUAGGAAUCUGCCUAUUAGUGGGGGACAACAUUUCGAAAGGAAUGCUAAUACCGCAUACGUCCUACGGGAGAAAGCAGGGGAUCUUCGGACCUUGCGCUAAUAGAUGAGCCUAAGUCGGAUUAGCUAGUUGGUGGGGUAAAGGCCUACCAAGGCGACGAUCUGUAGCGGGUCUGAGAGGAUGAUCCGCCACACUGGGACUGAGACACGGCCCAGACUCCUACGGGAGGCAGCAGUGGGGAAUAUUGGACAAUGGGCGCAAGCCUGAUCCAGCCAUGCCGCGUGUGUGAAGAAGGCCUUAUGGUUGUAAAGCACUUUAAGCGAGGAGGAGGCUACUUUAGAUAAU